UACGUAGGGGGCGAGCGUUAUCCGGAAUUACUGGGUGUAAAGGGAGCGUAGAGGGCGAAGUAAGCCUGAAGUGGAAGCCCGCGGCCCAACCGCGGAACUGCUUUGGGAACUGCUUAGCUGGAGUAUGGGAGGGGUAAGCGGAAUUCCUGGUGUAGCGGUGAAAUGCGUAGAUAUCAGGAGGAACACCGGUGGCGAAGGCGGCUUACUGGACCAUGACUGACGUUGAGGCUCGAAAGCGUGGGGAGCGAACAGG
rnacentral:rRNA from 1 species